UGAAUUGUAACAAAACUGUUUGAUGUAGAUUCACUGGAUUGUUUAAGCAAAAAAAAUAUGAAAUUAUGAAAAAUAUUAAUAGCAUUCCACCCAUGAGGCCACUAAUUAAUUUGACUGCAGGAAAGGGCUGCUAAAUCAAUUGAAUGAGCAACAUUUAUGCAAAGUCCUCCAACGGUACCCCUGAAGAGACAUGGAAUAAAAAGACAGACACAUGGGUGUAGCCCUAUGAUACGAAACACAACCCAACAUCAGUAGCAACAGAAAAGUUGGCUACGUCAGGUAUGCUGAUGUAGUAGGGCAGGAAGUGAAAACCACUAAGAUACGCAGGAGAGAGAGAGAAGGAGAGAGUGAGAGAAAGAGAGCGAUCGACAGUACAUAUCAUCAGUGUCACUUCAUGUGCGUAUACACAGAGGGUUUGUUCUAACUGAGUGACACGGACGUUACCUGUUUUGAGAGCUCAUAAGACAUUGCUUCUUUGCUCUGAUGUACCGUCCGCGUUCUGACCACAUCCCGCUGGUCCUAUGCCUCCUGUUUCUGCUCUGUGUCCAUGGCAACGCUCAAGACCAAGGCCCUACAUGUGAGGUGCGAGUGAAAAGAAACACCAUUUGGAAUGCUGUCCCUCAGAAAGCCCUAACAAUCAACUGCCCUGUGAGACACUGUGGAGAAAAGCUGCACGCCACCUGGUGUAAAUUUGUGGAUCUAUUAAACUGCGAACAGAUACAUGAGACAGAGCAAGUCACAUUUGGAUGGAGGCAAAAAGAUAUUUUGAUUUUGGAUUUUAAAAAGAUAUCUAUCAAUGACGAUGGUUUGUACAGAUGUGGAGUUGCUGAAAAUGGGUCAACAACUGUUAGCCAUGCUAUCAAAGUCUCUGUCUCAGGUAACCAACCAAAGCUAAUUUAAUCUUUCAAUCUAAUGUUUUAGAAUGGAUCGAUAGAUACUAAGUUGUUCUGGAAGCCGUUGUUGUCUGACAAACGUCCGGGGGCGGCCUAGGAAAUUAAGCCCUGGCAUUUUAGCCACACAUUGCCGCUCGUGCACCAUCAUGCGCUAUUACAUUUAGAGCCAAUCUAUUAAGGAACUGGCAAUACAUCUGUGUUGCCCUGUUGUCUUCCUAACUCCACUGCACUCACCUCUGAACUGCCUCUGCUAAGCCUAGCCUCCCCCCAUAGUUACCUUACAUAUAUAAUAUAGAGCCAAAAUGGUAAAACUGACAGUACAUCUGUGUCAGUGUGUGUCUCUCUCUAUUCCUACCUCCACUGCACUUGACUGCUGAGCUGUCUGGAACAGUAGCUGUCUGUGCUGCUAAGCCUAGCAUAACUGGGACCAGAAGACCAGGGGACCACACUGCCUGUGCUGGGCCCAGCAGUCCCCUAGGAUAGCAACCUGGAGAUUACAAGCACAGCAGACCACAACACAAAUGACUCAACGGAUGCAAAGCGUGAUAGGAAUGAUCCAAGCUUCAUGCCUUAUGUUUACAUCUGUGUGGGAAUAGCAGUCCUGGUGGUCAUUGUGACAGCAUUUUCUUUCUUCUGUCUACAUGCAUAUAAAGGACCAAGCAGGUCAACCGGAAAUAGAACAAAGAAGCAGGAGAUGUCCACACUGACAGCACCAUGUCCAGACCUCUCCUUCAACCCCGAGGAAACCUUUCCAUCAUCACCAUCCACCCCAAACCCCGUACAGCCUGCCAAUCUCUAUGACAACGGUCUCUACUGUAACCGCAUCAAUGGGAAAAAUGGAGCUCUACCAUUCUCCAACAACAGAGCAGGAGGUCAAGUGUCAAGCCACCUUGUGUAUGCUUCCCUGAACCACGAGACCACCAGGGGGUCCCUGAGAUCACCCCAUAUUCCGAACCCGCAGGAUACAUUCUCUGAGUACGCAGCCAUCCGGGUCUACUGAGCUCUGAGAGAGACCUCAGCCAGACCCUAACAGUACAGUGCUGUAAGUUAUGUUCUUUGAUGGUUGUUUUCACACAGAGGAAGAGGAAAGCUGAACAUUUUUGUUUAUGAAAAUUUGACUCAUCUGUUUUCAUAUUAUAUUUUUUGGGGGCACUUUAUAUAAUUGUCACGCACUCAAUGACACACACUUCCUGGUGCAAUUGCAACGGUGAGCAAUGUGUUAACCGCAGUGCAGCAGUGUUUCAGAGAAGAAGAUGUAAAGGUGGAGGGUGACUGAGAGGUGUUAGAACUAGAGAGCAUGUGCUUCUGAGUGAACAUCCUUCACAUCACACCUCAGAGUUAGAGGAGCAAAGGUGUCGGUAACUCUCACUUCAAGAUAUUUCACACAUAAUGAUGGGAAAACCAUAAUUUGUUAAUUACUAUCAAGAAAUACAUUAUAUAUUCAAAAGUAUGUGGACACCCAUUCAAAUGAGUGGAUUUGGCUAUUUCAGCCACAAUCAUUGCUAACAGGUGUAUACAAUUGAGCACACAGCCAUUCAAUCUCCAUAAAC